UGAGGAAUAUUGGUCAAUGGGCGAGAGCCUGAACCAGCCAAGUCGCGUGAAGGAAGAAGGUUCUAUGGAUUGUAAACUUCUUUUGCAGGGGAAUAAAGGACGGUACGUGUACUGUUUUGUAUGUACCUUGCGAACAAGGAUCGGCUAACUCCGUGCCAGCAGCCGCGGUAAUACGGAGGAUCCGAGCGUUAUCCGGAUUUAUUGGGUUUAAAGGGUGCGUAGGUGGAUUGUUAAGUCAGUGGUGAAAGUUUUCAGCUCAACUGAAAAAUUGCCGUUGAAACUGUCGAUCUUGAGUGCAAAUGAGGUAGGCGGAAUGUGUUGUGUAGCGGUGAAAUGCUUAGAUGUAACACAGAACUCCGAUUGCGAAGGCGGCCACCUGGACAGGUACUGACGCUGAGGUACGAAAGCGUGGGGAGCAAACA
rnacentral:rRNA from 1 species